rnacentral:rRNA from 1 species
UGGGGAAUCUUGCACAAUGGGGGCACCCUGAUGCAGCGACGCCGCGUGAGCGAUGAAGCCCUUCGGGGCGUAAAGCUCUUUCGACCGGAACGAUAAUGACGGUACCGGGAGAAGAAGCUGCGGCUAACUACGUGCCAGCAGCCGCGGUAAUACGUAGGCAGCAAGCGUUGUUCGGAGUUACUGGGCGUAAAGAGUGCGUAUGCGGUUUUCUAAGUUCGGUGUGAAAUCUCCCGGCUUAACUGGGAGGGUGCGCCGAAGACUGGGAAGCUGGAGUGUGGGAAAGGCAGGCGGAAUUCCUGGUGUAGCGGUGAAAUGCGUAGAUAUCAGGAGGAACACCGGCGGUGUAGACGGCUUGCUAGACCAUAACUGACGCUGAGGCACGAAAGCGUGGGUAGCAAACA